GACGAACGCUGGCGGCGUGCUUAACACAUGCAAGUCGAACGCGCCUGUCCUCUGGGUUUCUGGGGGGUGGGUGAGUGGCGAACGGGUGAGUAACACGUGAGUAACCUGCCCCCUUCUUCGGGAUAACGGUCUGAAAGGGCUGCUAAUACCGGGUAUUCACUGGUCUCCGCAUGGGGUCUGGUGGAAAGGUUUUUUUCUGGUGGGGGAUGGGCUCGCGGCCUAUCAGCUUGUUGGUGGGGUGAUGGCCCACCAAGGCUUUGACGGGUAGCCGGCCUGAGAGGGUGACCGGUCACAUUGGGACUGGGAUACGGCCCAGACUCCUACGGGAGGCAGCAGUGGGGAAUAUUGCACAAUGGGCGCAAGCCUGAUGCAGCGACGCCGCGUGAGGGAUGGAGGCCUUCGGGUUGUGAACCUCUUUCGCCCGUGGUCAAGCCGCGACGUGGGUCGUGGUGAGGGUAGUGGGUAAAGAAGCGCCGGCUAACUACGUG
rnacentral:rRNA from 1 species